UACAGAGGGGGCAAGCGUUGUUCGGAAUUACUGGGCGUAAAGGGCUCGUAGGCGGCCAACUAAGUCAGACGUGAAAUCCCUCGGCUUAACCGGGGAACGGCGUCUGAUACUGGAUGGCUUGAAUCCGGGAGAGGGAUGCGGAAUUCCAGGUGUAGCGGUGAAAUGCGUAGAUAUCUGGAGGAACACCGGUGGCGAAGGCGGCAUCCUGGACCGGCAUUGACGCUGAGGAGCGAAAGCCAGGGGAGCAAACGGG
rnacentral:rRNA from 1 species